GCAGUGCUCAAGCAGUGAGAAAUGGAACUGUUGCAAAACACGGCCAAGCACAUCAUAGCCGUUUCCUGGUUCCUGCGCUUGACUCUAUGAACUUAACCUCUGCUGCCAGUUUUAUGUCAGCUUGACCCAAACUUGAGUCAUUUGUGAAGAGGUCGCCUCAGUUGAGAACAUGCACCUAUAGAAUGGCCCAUGGUGCUGGUGCUUUAAGAAAGCAGGCCGAGCAAACAAUGGAGAGCAAUCCAGAAAACACCCUUCUUCCACAGCCUCUGCAUCAGCUCCUGUCUUCAGGUUCCUCCUGUCUUUCCCUGACUUCCCUUCAUGAUGGACUGUAAUCUGUGAGGUCCCGCAAGCCUGGAAGGCAAGACCCUGCCCCUUACCUCGCCCUAAUUUGGAGGACAAGAGGAUGUGCGGAAGAGACUGUCCCAUCUGCCCCGGGACAGUACACAAGCAACCACAAUACAAACUAGGCCUUGCUCUUACUUGUCUUGCUCAACUCCUACCCGUUUUCCGCCCCGAGUCCCGGGUGCCAAUCAGCCCCCCGUUCGGCGCUGCGGACACUCACCACGCCACUCGAGGGACGGUUCCUGGAUGUGAGUCAAAUCUUGGGCGAUGCCCUGGUGAAUCCCCAGCAGCAGCAGCUGUUGCAGCCAGAGCAGCUGCAGCAUCGCUAACCAUUGCACCAUCAGGCACGCUAGGUGACACCCACGGGAAUCAGAACCGUGUCCCCUGCUCUGGACUAGGGGGCAGGAGGCAAGAGAAGCUACCACUCUUCUCGAGGACCACGCCACCCCAGAGCCCUGGAGAUGAACUCGCCUCCCUUGUCGCCACAGCGUGUACACUUGGGACUCUGGGCGUGGAGACGCAAAUAGCGGAGUUUUCCCCGCCCCGCCCACACUGCUUUGGGGAGGGAGCAGGAAAAAGGGCCGGGCCCUGUGCAGCUUAAACACUCUGGCCUUUUGGGGUUAGGAGAAAGUAGGGCUAAAGCAGCACCGUGGCUCCCCUUCCCUGCUCCAUGAGUGCUCAAACUUCUCUCUCGGAUUUGCUGCAAUUCCUGGUCACCCGUCCCCAGUGUGGGUGAGCGAGCUAAUCCUCUCCAGGAGAAGAAACCUGCCCACUGGAUUUGCAAGGGUUUGGCUGCCGGCAGAGGAGUCAAAAGAGCUGCCGGGUGAACUCAGGCCCGGGAUGCCUCUGGAAUGCAGAGCACAGGAGACACCUAGGGGCCCAACCUGGUCUUCAACAUUGCUCCAGAGUAACCAGAAGUCACCUUCAGUAUCCAGCUUUAUCCUAUUUUAAAAUAACCCCAGGCUUCCGUUUUCUUAGAUCAUCUUCAUCUAAUCAAAUAUCCCACACUGUAGAGUUGAAGAACCCAGUCAGAAAGGCGUGUGACUGGAUGUCGGUUACUCCUUAACUCAACAAAACUUACUCCCUAAAUUAGUAGACAACAACAAAUGAAUACAAAACAUCAGGCUGCCCAAA
ensembl:antisense Gm13583 predicted gene 13583